UGUCACUGCAUUUCUUCUCCCUCUUCCAAUCUUCGACAAAACAUUUAUUUUCAGAACAAUCGACGUAUUUUCCUCGAUAUUCAUCUCUCGAAAAUGCAAAAAUAUUGCAUAUUCAAUAUGAAUUCGUUGCGGAUUUUAACGUUUUUUUCUAUUGUUGUUGCAUUUUGUUAGCUAAUAUUCUCGAAACUGGCAAAAUACUUCCAGAUCUGAAAUGCAUAUGCAAAUAAACUUGUUUUCCAUCAUUCAUUUUGUUAGAUUUACAAAAAUUCCAAACUAUUUUGGUAUAUUAACUCUUGAUCGGUCAUAUAUAAAAAUAAAACGCAUAGCAAAAUUAUUUUUUAACCUUUUGGUUUUUUAUCUACAAAAUAAUCGUAGAUUUAAACCCGGAAUUGUACAUAUUUCUAAGUUUUUAAUUACUCCACUUUAAUUUCGUCAGAAAUCAUAAAUUCUUUUCAAAUUUAUGCCUAGAAAAUUUGAUAAUGUCUUGUGUUGUGAGUUAAUGGAAGUAGAUUUCAAUAUGUAAACCAGGUUGAUUUGAUUAAUGAAUUAAAUUUGCAGUAAUUUGUUUUUGUGAUUUUGAAAGUGACUACUAUUUUUAAAUUUCCUGCAGAGACUUCUGCAAUGAAAAACCACCUGUUGAUGAAAUGCUGGCAGUUCUAGGCUCUAUAUUUCAUAAGAUUGCAGUACAAGAUAUUGGAAAAAUGUGCUCCCGCGACGUUCGACGCGGAAUCUAUCAACUUCAUUGCCAUAUGCAGGUGGUGCGACAUUGGCGUAUGCAGAAUCGUUUGAGGGGAAUAGCUUUGCUAUUAUUUCCUACACGAUUACACUAGGAUCUGAUGGCAUUUCCCAAUGUUUCAACGCGGAGAAGGACAAAUUCUAAACCGUCUGUGCGUGGUUCCAAACAAAUACGGCACAUAUGAAAGUCGUAACAAGCACCGGCAAUCAAACUGCUAAUUGGAUUAUUGCCAAAGCUGGUUACUGGACAAUGUUUAAAGGCGGCUUUCACGCCAAUACCACUGGAAUCGAGUUAUGGGUGGAAAGUGUGUCACUCCAGCCAUUUACACAAGAGGAGUGGGAUAACCACCAAGUUGAGAGCAUCGAAAAGAACCGGUGGUAGAUGCAGUUGUGUCCAUCAUACAGCAGGAGCCGCAUUUUCCAUUCCGAUGCAGCAUGAAUGACUUAAUUAUUGAGAACCCAGAAUACCAGAAUUGGUUCUUACAAAAAGGUUUCUUAGAAAAAGUGAGCUCAAAUGGCAGUUUACCGAAGUGGAGCACAGUACCGGAUGCGAUGUGCUACACGGAUGAACACUAUAAGAACCAGCCAGUCGGUGACGUAAUCGAUGGCUUCAUGAGAGUGUCCCUGAUUAUAACGGGGAAACGAACGACGCCGGAGUCUUUGAAGCUUCGCUGUUUCUCGGUGAAUAUGGAGCCACCGUGACUCUCUGACUCAACUUUUUUUACCCAAAUAAUACCAGCAAGUGUACGGGACUAGUAAGCAAGAGUAUAUCGUAUCCUACAAAUACAAUUAAGUGUAAACCUAAAUACC